rnacentral:antisense_RNA from 1 species
CACAGCAGCUUGCUCUCCUGGCUGGCUUCCCGCACCACCUGCAGCGCCACCCCGCGGCCGCCCGUGGCCUGGGACUGUGAAUAUCCUGGACUUGUCAGGGUAGAUGGGCUAGGAUUCUAGAGCCUAGAAUCAAUGCAAUACUCCCUGGACCGCUGCUUUGCUGUUGUUAAUCCUGCUGACCUCAACUUUCUAGCCCCUUCCUGUUUAGACUCUCUGGGAUUAGUGCUUCAGAAGCUAUGCUUCCCUGAAGUCAAAUGAGACCAGUUUAGUAUGCGUAUAUGGGAUUCCAGUUUGUGCCUCUUCAACCAUCCAAAGCCACAUCUGUCUACAUACCCUACAAGGUGUGACCUCUGCAAGGCCAAAAUCAGCACAGAUAACUAAAAGGCAGCUGUCUACAGAAGAGAAUUAAUAAUGGUGUCUGCUGAGGGAGGAUACACUGAUGCCAAAUCAGACCCUCAAAGAUCUUCUAAACCUAUGCUUCCCCUAUCAGAUCUUACUAUUACUGCUGUUAAUGAUAAUAAUUAAAGCUCAUUCUUGC